rfam:Gossypium raimondii Chr05_contig_23, whole genome shotgun sequence.
UGUUAAAAAUUGCAUUCUUUUGUACUGUUAAAAACUAAGGUGACUGACGGAAUAACCAAACAUAGAUAUGUGGUGUGCCACAUGUACGGUAUGUUGGCGUACACGAAUCAGUUUUUAACUGUAGGAAUAGAUGAAAGUUUUAACA